CUAUCAGAGACUAAAGACCCUCUCAGGGUACAACCUCAUCUCAAGAAAUGCUUUGAAGGUAUCGCUCAGCUGACCUUCACUCCGGAGAAAGAGAUCGUCGCUAUGGAAUCGGCUGAGAAUGAGAGUGUAGAGCUUUGUUCUCGUAUCAUCCCAGCAGAUGCUCAUGGUCUGGUGGAGAUGUGGCUCAUACAGG
rfam:Strongylocentrotus purpuratus Contig42299_fixed, whole genome shotgun sequence.